GACGAACGCUGGCGGCGCGCCUAACACAUGCAAGUCGAACGAGAGAGAGCGAGCUUGCUUUCUUAAGCGAGUGGCGAACGGGUGAGUAACGCGUGAGGAACCUGCCUCAAAGAGGGGGAUAACAGUUGGAAACGACUGCUAAUACCGCAUAAGCGCACGACCCGGCAUCGGGGAGAGGGAAAAUGAGCGCUGCGCUUUGAGGUGGCCUCGCGUCCGAUUAGCUUGUUGGUGAGGUAACGGCCCACCACGGCGACGAUCGGUGGCCGGGCUGGGGGGCUGAACGGCCACGUUGGGACUGAGACACAGCCCAGACUCCGACGCGAGGCAGCAGUGGGGAAUAUUGCACAAUGGGGCAAACCGUGAUGCAGCGACGCCGCGUGGAGGAAGAAGGUCGUCGUAUUGUAAACUCCUGUGGGUGAGGAAGAUAAUGACGGUACUCAACAAGGAAGCAACGGCUAACUACGUG
rnacentral:rRNA from 1 species